UACGUAGGUGGCAAGCGUUGUCCGGAUUUACUGGGCGUAAAGAGCGCGCAGGCGGUCGAUUAAGUCGAAUGUGAAAGCCCCCGGCUUAACUGGGGAGGGUCAUUCGAUACUGUCCGACUCGAAGGCAGGAGAGGGAAGCGGAAUUCCCGGUGUAGUGGUGAAAUGCGUAGAUAUCGGGAGGAACACCAGUGGCGAAGGCGGCUCACUGGACCGGAACUGACGCUGAGGCGACGAAAGCGGUGGGAGCAAACGGG
rnacentral:rRNA from 1 species